rnacentral:rRNA from 1 species
UACGUAGGGUGCAAGCGUUGUCCGGAAUUAUUGGGCGUAAAGAGCUCGUAGGCGGUUCGUCGCGUCGGCUGUGAAAACCUGAGGCUCAACCUCAGGCCUGCAGUCGAUACGGGCGGACUUGAGUACUGCAGGGGAGACCGGAAUUCCUGGUGUAGCGGUGAAAUGCGCAGAUAUCAGGAGGAACACCGGUGGCGAAGGCGGGUCUCUGGGCCGAUACUGACGCUGAGGAGCGAAAGCGUGGGGAGCGAACAGG